rnacentral:rRNA from 1 species
GAAUUCGCCCUUAGAGUUUGAUCCUGGCUCAGGACGAACGCUGGCGGCGCGCCUAACACAUGCAAGUCGAACGGAGCUUAGAGAGCUUGCUUUUUAAGCUUAGUGGCGAACGGGUGAGUAACGCGUGAGUAACCUGCCCUAGAGUGGGGGACAACAGUUGGAAACGACUGCUAAUACCGCAUAAGCCCACGGUACCGCAUGGUACUGAGGGAAAAGGAUUUAUUCGCUUUAGGAUGGACUCGCGUCCAAUUAGCUAGUUGGUGAGGUAACGGCCCACCAAGGCGACGAUUGGUAGCCGGACUGAGAGGUUGAACGGCCACAUUGGGACUGAGACACGGCCCAGACUCCUACGGGAGGCAGCAGUGGGGGAUAUUGCACAAUGGGGGAAACCCUGAUGCAGCGACGCCGCGUGGAGGAAGAAGGUUUUCGGAUUGUAAACUCCUGUCGUUAGGGACGAUAAUGACGGUACCUAACAAGAAAGCACCGGCUAACUACGUGCCAGCAGCCGCGGUAAAACGUAGGGUGCAAGCGUUGUCCGGAAUUACUGGGUGUAAAGGGAGCGCAGGCGGGAAGACAAGUUGGAAGUGAAAACCAUGGGCUCAACCCAUGAAUUGCUUUCAAAACUGUUUUUCUUGAGUAGUGCAGAGGUAGAUGGAAUUCCCGGUGUAGCGGUGGAAUGCGUAGAUAUCGGGAGGAACACCAGUGGCGAAGGCGGUCUACUGGGCACCAACUGACGCUGAGGCUCGAAAGCAUGGGUAGCAAACAGGAUUAGAUACCCUGGUAGUCCAUGCCGUAAACGAUGAUUACUAGGUGUUGGGGGGAUUGACCCCCCUCAGUGCCGCAGUUAACACAAUAAGUAAUCCACCUGGGGAGUACGACCGCAAGGUUGAAACUCAAAGGAAUUGACGGGGGCCCGCACAAGCAGUGGAGUAUGUGGUUUAAUUCGAAGCAACGCGAAGAACCUUACCAGGUCUUGACAUCCGAUGCAUAGCACAGAGAUGUGUGAAAUCCUUCGGGACAUCGAGACAGGUGGUGCAUGGUUGUCGUCAGCCCGUGUCGUGAGAUGUUGGGUUAAGUCCCGCAACGAGCGCAACCCUUAUUGCCAGUUACUACGUUAAGAGGACUCUGGCGAGACUGCCGUUGACAAAACGGAGGAAGGUGGGGAUGACGUCAAAUCAUCAUGCCCUUUAUGACCUGGGCUACACACGUACUACAAUGGCGUUAAACAAAGAGAAGCAAGACCGCGAGGUGGAGCAAAACUCGAAAACAACGUCUCAGUUCAGAUUGCAGGCUGCAACUCGCCUGCAUGAAGUCGGAAUUGCUAGUAAUCGCGGAUCAGCAUGCCGCGGUGAAUACGUUCCCGGGCCUUGCACUCACCGCCCGUCA